CCUACGGGAGGCAGCAGUGGGGAAUAUUGGGCAAUGGAGGCAACUCUUACCCAGCAAUGCCGCGUGAAUGAAGAAGGUCUUCGGAUUGUAAAGUUCUUUAAUUGGGGACGAAAAAAAUGACGGUACCCAAGGAAUAAGCCCCGGCUAACUACGUGCCAGCAGCCGCGGUAAUACGUAGGGGGCAAGCGUUGUUCGGAAUGACUGGGCGUAAAGGGUGGGUAGGCGGUGUGAGAAGUUAGAAGUGGAAUACCGAGGGCUUAACUCAGGUGCUGCUUCUGAAACUGGUAUACUUGAGUGCAGUAGAGGGAAGUGGAAUUCCUGGUGGAGCGGUGGAAUGCGUAGAUAUUAGGAGGAACAUCAGUGGCGAAGGCGACUUUCUGGACUGUAACUGACGCUGAGGCACGAAAGUGUGGGGAGCAAACAGGAUUAGAUACCCGUGUAGUC
rnacentral:rRNA from 1 species